UACAGAGGCCACGAGCGUUAGGCGGAAUCACUGGGCUUAAAGCGUGUGUAGGUGGAUGACUAAGUACCUUGUGAAAUCCCACGGCUCAACCGUGGAACUGCUUGGUAUACUGGUUGUCUUGAGGCACUCAGGGGCGAGCGGAACAGAUGGUGGAGCGGUGAAAUGCGUAGAUAUCAUCUGGAACGCCAAUGGUGAAGACAGCUCGCUGGGGGGUGUACUGACACUGAGACACGAAAGCCAGGGGGAGCAAACGGG
rnacentral:rRNA from 1 species